AACUGGAGGAAGGUGGGGAUGACGUCAAGUCAUCAUGGCCCUUACGGCCAGGGCUACACACGUGCUACAAUGGUCGGUACAAAGGGUUGCCAAGCCGCGAGGUGGAGCUAAUCCCAUAAAACCGAUCGUAGUCCGGAUCGCAGUCUGCAACUCGACUGCGUGAAGUCGGAAUCGCUAGUAAUCGUGAAUCAGAAUGUCACGGUGAAUACGUUCCCGGGCCUUGUACACACCGCCCGUCACACCAUGGGAGUGGGUUGCUCCAGAAGUAGCUAGUCUAACCGCAAGGGGGACGGUUACCACGGAGUGAUUCAUGACUGGGGUGAAGUCGUAACAAGGUAGCCGUAGGGGAACCUGCGGUUGGAUCACCUCCU
rnacentral:rRNA from 1 species